rnacentral:rRNA from 1 species
UAGGGAAUCUUCGGCAAUGGACGAAAGGCUGACCGAGCAACGCCGCGUGAGUGAAGAAGGUUUUCGGAUCGUAAAACUCUGGUGGUAGAGAAGAACAAGGACGGUAGUAACUGAACGUCCCCUGACGGUAUCUAACCAGAAAGCCACGGCUAACUACGUGCAAGCAGCCGCGGUAAUACGUAGGUGGAAAGCGUUGUCCGGAUAUGGUGGGCGUAAAGCGAGGGCAGGCGGUUUCUUAAGUCUGAUGUGAAAGCCCCCGGCUCAACCGGGGAGGGUCAUUGGAAACUGGGAGACUUGAGUGCAGAAGAGGAGAGUGGAAUUCCAUGUGUAGCGGUGAAAUGCGUAUAUAUAUGGCGGAACACCAGUGGCGAAGGCGGCUCUCUGGUCUGUAACUGACGCUGAGGCUCGAAAGCGUGGGGAGCAAACAGG